rnacentral:sRNA from 1 species
GAGAGAGGAGGGAAGGGGGAAGCGUUCGUGCCUCUCUGCCCCCUGUCCCCCUCUUGCUGCAUAGUAGCCACAUCCAUGUCUCUUGUACCCUGCAAUCUGGAGGCCCCUGCCAGAAGCGGGAAAUCCCAAGUACAGCAGCAAAAGGAGCCUCUGGGGCUGGCACAGCCCUCACUGCCUACAACCUGGGCCUGGUGGUUCUCCUAGGGUGCCUCUGGGAGGUCAUGGCCACCCCGCUGCUGGCUAACUGCAGCUACUUCUGCCAGCCAGUGGACUACAGAUGGAGCAAGCAUGGAAUGAGGGCAUCUUCCUGGAGACAGGAAGGUAGGCAUUGUGGAAUCAGCGGUGCGUAGAACAGUGAGGAUUUGGGGCUGAACCCAGCCCAGGUGGGACAAGCCGUGGCACCAGCCGGACUGCAGUCUGAUGGAACUUCCCCUUCCUGCCCAGCAGAUGGCGAGCGUGUGCUGCUGGUGCCUCUUUCCAAAGGACGUUGAAUUGCUUGACAGCCCUGCCCAGCAUCUAGAAGACCACAUGAAGCUUUCACACUUUGAGACCUUAGAUCCUACGAGGGUUUGAAUUUCAAAAGCUUCAAUUAAAGCGCACAGUGUUCCAGGUGUUCUUUACUUUAUGAAUGAAGCCGGAGCAGCCCACCUUCCUGCAUCUCUACCACCAUGGCACCAUGCCCUGUGAUGGGUGGGCUGGAGUCAAAUACGUAGCAGGCAACCAGGGUCAGUUUGUGGCCACUGCUGCCCCCUCUUCCUACAGUCUCCUCACUGAGUGCCCCUUCCCUGUUGGGUUCAACACAUCUGUGCUCCUGUAAGCCCUCAGCCUCCUGGUUCUCUUCCUCAACUUCUACCACCAGACACAUCUGAGAAGCAAGCAAGAGAGGCUGAACUAGGAGCAGGACCCAGGGACUGAAACCAUCACAGCAUCCCCACAGAGAAUUGGGUGGAAGGCAGCGUGGCUUCCAGCUUACUGGUGCUGAGCAGAUUUCUCUGGGUCUCCAUUGUAUCCUCUGAAGGAAGGAGGAGGAUUGCCUUCUGUCCAGAUCUCAGGAUCAAACAAAUAGGUCCAACUUCCUGUGCUCACUUCAGUUAGAGCACUUCUCAUGUGACUUUGUAGCUUUGUGUGCAUCUCCUUCCUCUACUAGACCUAAGCCCCUCACGGGAGGGACUCUCUUAUUCUUGAUGUUCCCCACACCUGGAAUUUCAAUAAACAUCUCAA